GCAUCCCUCAAGCUAAGCUUGGUAUUGGGAGGCUGCCCCCCGGGGCACCCCCGAAAUGCAUCGGCGACGUGGGAGGAUUCCCCUAGCGAAGUGACAUAACAACGCGCUACAUGGGUUCCUGCCCCCGGCAGCCGUCAAAAUCACCCAAUUUUCUAC
rnacentral:misc_RNA from 1 species